CAUUCGCUAAACCGGACUACAUAUAGCCAAUCUAGGGGCCCAAACGCGUAAAACCCCCCAUCUCCUCGUGCUCUCCCGUCUCUGUUCGCCCCCCCUUUCGCUCGGGGUCCGAGUGUCGGAGGCAGAUCUGCGGCGACGAACUGGUGCUGCCGCCACAACCAGGUGGCAGGUGGUCUUCAUCGCCGUCCAACGUCGUCAUCCUCGCUUCGUGGUCGUGGAGGACGUUCCUGCUCACGUGGUCACUCCCUUCAAGCUCGUCACGUCCACGCAGCUUCGUCAUGCGGCGCCUCGGAUGGGAGGCCCCGUACGCCCGUACGGGACAGCGGCGGCGCGCUGGAGAGGAACAGGCAAGCGCGAACGGGGCGUCGCGGUGCGCGGCGGCGGGACCGUGGGAAAGCCCCAGCCCCGGCGGCCUCGGCCACCACGUCCACGCCCAGGAGGCCGCGGGCUGCCGCGCCGCCGCCACCCUACCAGUUCCGGCCGACGCAGCCACCUGAAGCGCGGACGCCUGAUUCUGAUGUACGGGGUCGCGUUCCAGCCGUCGAUUCGUGACGUCCCACCCCUCGACCCCGAUCCUCGAGCUCGAUUCGGAUCGACGCUGAUUCAGGGCGCCAAUCGUUCCGCGGUUCCGGCUGCUACGCCCUUCAAUGCAAGCUCAUGUCCGUCUUACUCCACCAGACCAAUCAGGCCCUCGCCUGCAAGCUCACCUGCGGAGUUGUAACCGCACGCUUUUCCAUCUAUUUUUGCUUCUUUCUCGCUACCGAUUUGUUUUUUUUACGCGGGACGUUGUGCAUUGCAACCUGAGCAGCCGUGGGCUAAUUCCGGUUAGGCUUGAAGCGGGUAGUAACUUUUCCUACCAUGUUGUGUAGAUACCUGUAGGUGAUUUAGCACUUUCAAGCAAAUUAGGUAACUAACCAGUAACCACCAAUAGGUAUGACGGAUUCUAUAUAGCACACUGUCAUUGCACCUUUUACUACUUUGGUCGCAUGGGACUGGGAGUACAUACAAUGAAUCUUUGCAUUUUUUUCUUUCUAAAAAACGAAGGAUUUCAUCUAAGAGGGAUUCUGUUCAAAGUUGUAAAAUUUCUGGAGAAUGCAUGCUCCCUUGGGCACUGUCUAAUGCUACAGUGCUAACCUGCACUUCGUCAUGCAGAUCCGUGGCUCAACUAUAUUGGGUCUGCAAAUUGACCUCUGCGUACAUUGUUUUGAUUUCAGCAUUCCGCAGGCGCAGCCAAAGACAACUGUGGGAUUAGGGGCAAAAUGUGACUGCUUGAAAAACUCUGUGUGCAGCGUACUUUGAUUUCAGCAUGGCAGAAUCGGAAGUUCUGACCAGUAUCACCGGAGAUGAACCUUCGUUGAGUUAGAACAAAAAAUGGUUGAGGGCAUGCAGGUCCAUGCUAAUGAGGUUGGAGUUACGCAAACUCGUGGUGGCAUAUAUUGGAUAAUCCUACCUGUUGGAUGAAAAGCAGUUACUAAUCCCAUCCCUCUGCCUUGUACAAUUUCUCAGCAAAAACACAACCAACAAGUGGCCAUAGCGGGGUUCUUGUGAGCCUGAAAUUUGCAUUGCUAUUUCUUUCCCCGAUGGACACAUAAGAGACCCAAGAUGAUGAUUGCUUUGAACCUUUUGGACUGCAAAAAUAUGAAGGAAAAAAACUGAAGCAUCUCUUUUGUAGGACUCACAUGCAAUCAUGCUAAAAAGGCCUUGCUUCUUAUGAAUAUCGCAAUGAUUUCUUGUUCUCUUAAUGAGUUAAAAAAAGUUAAAUUCAACUUCCUUUUGAAUUCUCUAUAGUGAUUUGUUUUUCAUUUCUCUCUUGAUUUUAUUUUUACACUUUGGUUUUAUUUUGGUGUUACUGUUCUGUUCGAAUUGCAGAUCUGGGUUCAUUUUUGGAGAAUGGUAUUCAUACUUUCAUACACACUUCUUCUCACCGCAAGAAUUGCAGCAGGCUGGUUCUACACUAGCAUUAAUUAUUGUUCUCUUUGUUGCUUAAAGUGUUUCAUCGUAUUCCUUGUGGUUGUUUGGGUUAUACAAGAAUUUACAACUUUCCAUGUUCUGAAGUAUGUGAUUCUAUUCACAGGUGUGAUGAAUAGCUUAUUCUCAGUUUAAGAUAUUUAUGAUGACACUAUCUCGCGAAGAGUUAAUUCAAGUGACACUGAAAAAAGUUUGCUGAAAUCUGCCCUUGCCCUUGCCCUUGCAAUGGUGUUGGAUGGGCGUUUAUGAUACCUGAUUGCUCAUGGGAAAGCUGAUGGUGGUGAAGUUGUGCUAGCUUUAUUUGCUGUGAUUCUUAGCGGCCUCUAAUAUUCAUUUGAGGAAGGGCAGAUUGCGGCUUAUAGACUAUAUGAGAUGAUAACCCAUUCGACUUCAAGCUCCAAUCUGGAAGGAACCACCUUACCCGAAGUGCAGGGAACUUUCAAUUAAGAAACCUGUAUUUUAGUUAUGGUCUCAUGUCCUGAAAUUUCAAUUUUAAGUGGUUUUUUGUGGGUGCACCUGCUAGAAAAACUGUUUCACUUGUUGGUAGAAUGGCUCAGGGAAAAGUAGCACAAUUCCUCUGAUGUAGAGAUUCUAUGAUCCAACGUUAGGUAACAUCGUUGGGACGCAUCUUACACUCCCCAUUGUCAAUCCCUUUUUACUAAGAUUUCUCUUUUUAUGUUUUUAGGCGAAGUCCUUCUGGAUGGUAGAUUGGUUAAGAAGCUUAAUUGGUCUGGUUACAGAAGAACCUGCAUUACUAAGUUUGAGCAUUAGAGAUAGCAUUGCUUAUGUUAGAUUUGCUACCUUUGAUCAGAUAGAAGCAGCUGCCAAGACAGCACAUGCCCAUGGGUUCAUCAGUUCACUUGAAAAGGGUUAUGAAACACAGGUAAUGCAGGGCCGAAUGAUUAGCCAUGGAUGCAGAAAAGUUCAAAUUUUCAAUAGCUCAUGCUGUGCUUUCGCGUCCAUCAAUUCUUUGCUUGACAAAAUCACAGGUGGACUUGAAUUUUCAGCUGAAAAGGUUGCAAGAAGCAUUAGAUGUUCUCAUGUUGGGAAGGUUCACCAUUAUAUUAGCUAGGGGUCUUAGCCUCAUUAAACAUUAAACAUUAAACAUGCUGAUUACAUAGCUACAAUGGAAGAUGGGCAUCUUGUUGAAAUGGGAACACAUGAUGAACUGCAAAACCUGAAUGUCCUUUAUCUUUAUGCUUAUGCCGAACUUUUAAGAUGUGAGGAAGCAACAAACCUUCCUAUAAUGUAAGCUGUUUUCUCUGGACAAUAUCCUUGUAAGAGUACUUCUUUUGUAACAGUUUCGAGCUUCAGAUUCAGUACCACAUGUUUUCAGUCUAGACUAGACAAGGGUUCUGAGUUCAAAAUCUAGGUGGUGCAAUUUUUAAAAAUAAAAUCAUGUCCACUCUUGGCCUA